rnacentral:rRNA from 1 species
UACGUAGGGCGCAAGCGUUAUCCGGAAUUAUUGGGCGUAAAGAGCUCGUAGGCGGUUUGUCGCGUCUGCCGUGAAAGUCCGGGGCUCAACUCCAGAUCUGCGGUGGGUACGGGCAGACUAGAGUGCAGUAGGGGAGACUGGAAUUCCUGGUGUAGCGGUGAAAUGCGCAGAUAUCAGGAGGAACACCGAUGGCGAAGGCAGGUCUCUGGGCUGUAACUGACGCUGAGGAGCGAAAGCAUGGGGAGCGAACAGG